CAUGCAGUCGAGGGGCAGCGGAUCCCUCCGGGGAUGCCGGCGACCGGCGAACGGGUGAGUAACACGUAUGGAAUCUACCCUUAACUGGGGGAUAGCCCCGAGAAAUCGGAGUUAAUACCCCAUAUUAUAAUAAAGGGGCAUCCCUUUAUUAUGAAAGCUCCGGCGGUUAAGGAUGGCCAUGCGGUCCAUUAGCUUGUUGGUGAGAUAAAAGCUCACCAAGGCCACGAUGGAUAGCUGAUCUGAGAGGAUGAUCAGCCACAUUGGCACUGAGACACGGGCCAAACUCCUACGGGAGGCAGCAGUAGGGAAUCUUGGUCAAUAGGCGAAAGCCUGAACCAGCCAUGCCGCGUGCAGGAUGAAGGCCCUACGGGUCGUAAACUGCUUUUAUUCGGGAAGAAAAAGUCUGUCUCUACAGACCUUGACGGUACCGAAUGAAUAAGGACCGGCCAACUCCGUGCCAGCAGCCGCGGUAAUACGGAGGGUCCAAGCGUUAUCCGGAUUCACUGGGUUUAAAGGGUGCGCAGGCGGUCUGGUAAGUCAGUGGUGAAAGCCUUCGGCUCAACCGGAAAAUUGCCAUUGAAACUACUAGACUUGAGUGUAGUUGAGGUGGGCGGAAUGUAGCAUGUAGCGGUGAAAUGCAUAGAUAUGCUACAGAACACCGAUAGCGAAAGCAGCUCACCAGACUACAACUGACGCUGAGGCACGAAUGCAUGGGUAGCAAACAGGAUUAGAUACCCUGGUAGUCCAUGCCGUAAACGAUGAACACUCGGAGUUUGUCGCCUAGCGAUAAGCUCCCUAGCGAAAGCGUUAAGUGUUCCACCUGGGGAGUAUGGUCGCAAGGC
rnacentral:rRNA from 1 species